rnacentral:lncRNA from 1 species
GGUUCUUAUUAACUCUACAUACAUAGAUAUUUUUUGAACAUAUGAUGCUCGUUUUUUGGGUCAAGAGUAUACCUGAUUUCUUUUGUACAUUUCCCUUUGUUUGUCUUGGUUUUGAGCGGUGGGUUUGGGUCUGUGUACAACACCUGUGUGGUCAUGUCCUUGGUCCAAUCCCCAAUGGACCCCUAGACCUUACGCCCUAGGUACUUGUGGAGAGCUGAGAGGGUUUGACAGCUGUCAGUAAUAGCUCCACAUUGCUCGGAAGUUUCACCAUAUUGCGCUAAUACCAAUCAAAUCCUCUCGGAUCUCCACUAGUGUAUCGGGUCUAGGGAUUGCUUUAAAUUGGGCCCUCGGCGCCAGGUCCUGAGAGUGACAAUGGGUGUAUUCAUUAGUUAGACCGCUGCAAAAUGUUUUGAAACUGAAACUGUUUACUUUAAAAGGAAAAUGUUUUGCAACGAAAACGAGAGUUUCUAUUGGACAAAUUCAGGUAGGUCCCCUCCCUGUUUGGUUCCUAGAGUAAACAGUUUCCGUUUAAAGAAAUGUUUUUGCAACGGUCUGCACCUAAUGAAUACCCCUCAGCACAGCAGGUCAUACUGCUCUUACUGCUUGACUAUCCUAACUCAUCUAACACCCACACACACCACCGUGUAAUAAUUCUCUGGGCAAUCUGCCACACUACUUUAUCACUUUUUAAAAAGAAGUAGAAUACAGAUGCCGUAAAUGUCAUAGCUCUGCAUCAAAAAUACAGAUUGUAUGGAAACCAUGUUGUACAAAAUAAAAGCGCACAUAUCUACACACACACACCCUCCCCCGCCAAGGGCAAAAAUGACCAUAAACCUAAUUUAUAAUCUAGUAGUGUGAUUUAAUUUGAAAUUUUUCAUCAGUGUGUGUUAAAAAAAGACUGUAUUGCUCUGUUUACUAAACUAUAGUUAAAUCAUCUCUUUAUAGCACACCAAGUUGAAGAAAAGUUAAUAGUCAAACUAACAGAUUAUAGAGGGUUACUGAUUAUUUUUUUUGCACCCAGCAACAAUUUCUUUGCACUAUGAAAAUGUUGCCCACAUACAUACAUACAUACACACACCCACACACACGUAUGUUCUAUAACUAUGACUUCUCAACACCGGAGUGGAGCGGUAUGUAAUUCUAUUGAAUGAAUGAUACGACCUGAUGCACUGUGAGCUCAAUGUGAUGUGGGAGUCAUUUGUCAACCAAUAAAAAUGAGACAUAAAACAUCAUAAUAUAUUUAAUGUAAAGUUAGUUAAUAUGAAACAUUAUCGAAAACAUCUGUAUAACUUAUAUGAAUGUAUUGUCUCGCUAUACUGGACAUAUCCAACCGAUGCAUUUUACUGUAAAGCAAUAACGUGAAAAAAUUAAAUGGC